rnacentral:rRNA from 1 species
GACGUAGGUGGCGAACGUUAUCCGGAAUUAUUGGGCGUAAAGAGCUCGUAGGCGGUUUGUCGCGUCUGCUGUGAAAACUCGGGGCUUAACUCCGGGCCUGCAGUGGGUACGGGCAGACUAGAGUGCGGUAGGGGAGACUGGAAUUCCUGGUGUAGCGGUGAAAUGCGCAGAUAUCAGGAGGAACACCGGUGGCGAAGGCGGGUCUCUGGGCCGUAACUGACGCUGAGGAGCGAAAGCGUGGGGAGCAAACAGG